AGCGCAGGCGGGAGAACAAGUUGGAAGUGAAAUCCAUGGGCUCAACCCAUGAACUGCUUUCAAAACUGUUUUUCUUUGAGUAGUGCAGAGGUAGGCGGAAUUCCCGGUGUAGCGGUGGAAUGCGUAGAUAUCGGGAGGAACACCAGUGGCGAAGGCGGCUUUCUGGACUGUAACUGACACUGAGGCUCGAAAGCCAGGGGAGCGAACG
rnacentral:rRNA from 1 species